rnacentral:rRNA from 1 species
AGUGAACGCUGGCGGUAGGCCUAACACAUGCAAGUCGAACGGCAGCACAGUAAGAGCUUGCUCUUACGGGUGGCGAGUGGCGGACGGGUGAGGAAUACAUCGGAAUCUACUUUUUCGUGGGGGAUAACGUAGGGAAACUUACGCUAAUACCGCAUACGACCUACGGGUGAAAGCAGGGGAUCUUCGGACCUUACGCGAUUGAAUGAGCCGAUGUCGGAUUAGCUAGUUGGCGGGGUAAAGGCCCACCAAGGCGACGAUCCGUAGCUGGUCUGAGAGGAUGAUCAGCCACACUGGAACUGAGACACGGUCCAGACUCCUACGGGAGGCAGCAGUGGGGAAUAUUGGACAAUGGGCGCAAGCCUGAUCCAGCCAUACCGCGUGGGUGAAGAAGGCCUUCGGGCUGUAAAGCCCUUUUGUUGGGAAAGAAAAGCAGCAGGUUAAUACCCCGCUGUUCUGACGGUACCCAAAGAAUAAGCACCGGCUAACUUCGUG